ACGCACGCUGGCGGCGUGCUUCACACAUGCAAGUCGAACGCUGAAGCUCAGCUUUUGUUGGGUGGAUGAGUGGCGAACGGGUGAGUAACACGCGAGUAACCUGCCCCCUCCUUUGGGAUAACGCCCGGAAACGGGUGCUAAUACUGGAUAUUCACUGGUCUUCGCAUGGGGGUUGGUGGAAAGGGUUUUUCUGGUGGGGGAUGGGCUCGCGGCCUAUCAGCUUGUUGGUGGGGUGAUGGCCUACCAAGGCUUUGACGGGUAGCCGGCCUGAGAGGGUGACCGGUCACAUUGGGACUGAGAUACGGCCCAGACUCCUACGGGAGGCAGCAGUGGGGAAUAUUGCACAAUGGGCGCAAGCCUGAUGCAGCGACGCCGCGUGAGGGAUGGAGGCCUUCGGGUUGUGAACCUCUUUCGCUCAUGGUCAAGCCGCAACAAUGGUUGUGGUGAGGGUAGUGGGUAAAGAAGCGCCGGCUAACUACGUG
rnacentral:rRNA from 1 species